AUACGUAGGGGGCGAGCGUUGUCCGGAAUGAUUGGGCGUAAAGGGCGCGUAGGCGGCCCGGUAAGUCUGGAGUGAAAGUCCUGUUUUUAAGAUGGGAAUUGCUUUGGAUACUGUCGGGCUUGAGUGCAGGAGAGGUAAGUGGAAUUCCCAGUGUAGCGGUGAAAUGCGUAGAGAUUGGGAGGAACACCAGUGGCGAAGGCGACUAUCGGGACGGAAACUGACGCUGAGGCACGAAAGCGUGGGGAGCAAACAGGAUAGUAUACCCGGGUGGCCCAAGCCCUAAAGGAGUGAUACUGGCUGUGGCAUGGUUGGAAUCUUGCUGUGGCGGAGCUAACGCAUUAAGGACCCCGCCUGGGGAGUACGGUCGCAAGUCUGAAUCUCAAAGGAAUUGACGG
rnacentral:rRNA from 1 species